GGCGUUGUUAAUUAGCUUAUCUCGGACCAAGAUAAUGAACUAUCGGAAUUAUAAAAAAAAAAGGGGCCCUUCAUCAGGAUUUUUCCCAGUCAUGUCGGAUAAUGCCGAAGUGGGCUCGAUGAGGAGGACCUUUGCAGCAAGUUUAUGGCCUCACGCGAAUAUGCGUUGUUGGCCUUUGUGCGAUCCAAUCCGAGAUAUGCGUUAUUGUGCCUGGUUGCAAUGUAUGCUAGCCAGCCACUGCCCACCAUGAGCUGGGGAUACAAGCCCGCGCUACCGG
rnacentral:lncRNA from 1 species